AGAGAGAAAACAAGAAGGUAUCGGAAUCAGUGUAGCUCCGGCCAAGAAUUUGCGACAGUAGGUAUUUUCAGCUAGCAAUUUCCAGCAGCAACCUCCCUGCUGUGAGGAUUGAGCAAUUUAUCUUUGCUGG